rnacentral:rRNA from 1 species
AGAGUUUGUUNCUGGCUCAGGAUGAACGCUGGCGGUCUGCUUAACACAUGCAAGUCGAACGGAGUAGAAAUACUUAGUGGCGGACGGGUGAGUAACGCGUGAGAAUCUACCUUCAGGACGGAGACAACAGUUGGAAACGACUGCUAACCCCCGAUGUACCGAAAGGGCAAAUAUUUAUAGCCUGAAGAAGAGCUCGCGUCCGAUUAGCUAGUUGGAGAGGUAAAAGCUCACCAAGGCGACGAUCGGUAGCUGGUCUGAGAGGACGAUCAGCCACACUGGGACUGAGACACGGCCCAGACUCCUACGGGAGGCAGCAGUGGGGAAUUUUCCGCAAUGGGCGAAAGCCUGACGGAGCAAGACCGCGUGGGGGAUGACGGCCUAAUGGUUGUAAACCUCUUUUCUCUGGGAAGAUAAUGGACGGUACCAGAGGAAUAAGCCUCGGCUAACUCCGUGCCAGCAGCCGCGGUAAUAACGGAGGAGGCAAGCGUUAUCCGGAAUGAUUGGGCGUAAAGCGUCCGCAGGUGGCAGUUCAAGUCUGCUGUCAAAGACCGGGGCUCAACCUCGGAAAGGCAGUGGAAACUGAACAGCUAGAGUAUGGUAGGGGCAAAGGGAAUUCCUGGUGUAGCGGUGAAAUGCGUAGAGAUCAGGAAGAACAUCGGUGGCGAAGGCGCUUUGCUGGACCAUAACUGACACUCAGGGACGAAAGCUAGGGGAGCGAAUGGGAUUAGAUACCCCAGUAGUC